UGCAUAAAUUAUUAAAUAAAGAAUUGUCCAGAAUUAAUUGAACGUUUUCAUUUUAAAAUUAAUUUUCCAAAUGCUUGAAUUAAAUCUUCAUUUUACUUACCGAAUAUUUCUGAACACUAUCCUGUCUUUAUCCUAUCCAAAGAACUGUCCUUAUCUCAUUUAUUUUUCUCACUUAUUUAUUUAUUUUUAUAUUAUGUCAGCUAAAGUGCACUUUACCAUGCUCCUCAAAAAUUUUAAAAUUAUUAUUUUAAAAAGAUAACAUUUUUUGACAUAAAUUUUGUAAUGUUAAAUAAGUACGUACNUGUUAUUUAAUUAGGGAACGCUUAUCAAGCGAACUGGGCGUAUUUCAAAGGUUUAAACAUUACAAAUAAUUGAUCUAUUUAUCACAAUAAUUAUGUAUAUUAUGUAUAGACAAACAAACUGUCAACUGUUUGUGUGACAUAUUGAAUUUUUAUUAGAUUUAAAAAGAGUGGGACACGAGAGAAUACAAUUUAAAAAAUACAUUCUAUUUAAUAAAUCCCGAUAACAUUCUUGUGCAGAUCACUAUCGUCGUCGACGUCAACCCAUCAGCGUCUAAAUCGGUUAAUCUUAAUAAAAAACAUCAAGCAACUUGUAUGAUCAAUUUUGUUAAACUGAAUUAUUGUGCUACAUUAUUUGAAAUUCAGAUUUUGACUUCAAUCAACAUACAAACCUAUAAGGUAGAUCUCCCAACGACAAAACUGAUUGUGAGUUAUUUUUAUAAUUGUUCACCUGUGUCUAAAAUUGUAAAUCGAUAAAAUCAAAGUUAUAAAUUAGGCAUAUUUUUAUAUUUAUAAUAUUAAAAGUUUUAUAUUUUUAAAUUUUCUAAAGACAGGUAUCUACUAAGGUAUAGUUUUAGUUUCUUUUAAAAAUAAAUUUAUUUAUUAUUUUCUAAAAUUAACUCGUAAGAAAAAAAGACAUGCAUAAAACCAAGAUAGUUUUUUUCCUUUUAAUUCUUUCGGGUUCAAUGAUUGAUUCAGCUCCCCAAAUAAAUCAACUAUUCAAUUCACACUAUUAUUCACCCUUUUAUUUUCGUAAAGCAUACCCUAAUUGCAACCCCGGUUAUUCCGAGUUUUAUGUAUGUCAACUGUCAUGUAGAAUUACAAAAAUGAUAUGUGAACCAUUCCUAAAUCAAGAAUUUAAUAGACAAUGUUAUGGCUGCUUUAAACCAAGUGACAUUGGUUAACCUACGGAUUUCAUUAAUUGUUAAUGGGAUAAAAAUAUUGUUUUCUAUAAAUAAAAAAAAUGUUUUAAAUAAACCUAAAUAGGUACCUACUUACCUAUAUUUAAGUCUUAAUAAUAAUUGUUCGUAUUAUUCAAUUUAAUUCAACUAUGUUCAUGAUAAUAAUUGUAUAAUACCAUGUAGUGAACGUGCAUAUUAUUUUAACAAUAUUUUACUUUGAAUAAUAUAAUAAAAUCCUUAAUAUUAUAAUAUGUAACAAAAUUCACCUGUUAGAUUUAAAACACAGUAACAUUAUUUUAAUAAUAUUAAGUUAUUUGUGAAUAAAAUAUAAUAUUAUUAUAUUAAAUAAAUGUAAUUCAAUGAUAAUGACUUACUAUGCUUGAAUUAAAUCUUCAUUUUACUUAGCGAAUAUUUCUGAACACUAUCCUGUCUUUAUCCUAUCCAAAGAACUGUCCUUAUCUCAUUUAUUUUUCUCACUUAUUUAUUUAUUUUUAUAUUAUGUCAGCUAAAGAGCACUUUAACAUGCUCCUCAAAAAUUUUAAAAUUAUUAUUUUAAAAAGAUAACGUUUUUAUAAUAUCUAUUAAUGUGUUAUUUAAAUGUUAUUUAAUUAGGGAAUGCUUAUCAAGCGAACUGGGCGUAUUUCAAAGGUUUAAACAUUACAAAUAAUUGAUCUAUUUAUCACAAUAAUUAUGUAUAUUAUGUAUAGACAAACAAAAUGUCAACUGUUUGUGUGACAUAUUGAAUUUUUAUUAGAUUUAAAAAGAGUGGGACACGAGAGAAUACAAUUUAAAAAUUACAUUCUAUUUAAUAAAUCCCGAUUACCUUCUUGUGCAAAUCAGUAUCGUCGUCGACGUCAACCCAUCAGCGUCUAAAUUGGUUAAUCUUAAUAAAUAACAUUAAGCAAAUUGUAUGCUCAAUUUUGUUAAACUGAAUUAUUGUGCUACAUUAUUUGAAAUUCGGAUUUUGACUUCAAUCAACAUACAAACCUAUAAGGUAGAUCUUCCAACGACAAAACUGAUUGUGAGUUAUUUAUAUAAUUGUUCACCUGUCUAAAAUUUUAAAUCGAUAAAAUCAAAGUUAUAAAUUAGGCAUAUUUUUUUAUUUAUAAUAUUAAAAGUUUUAUAUUUUUAAAUUUUCUAAAGACAGGUAUUUACUAAGGUAUAAUUUUAUUUUAUUUUAUAAAUAAAUAUAUUUAUUAUUUUCUAAAAUUAACUCGUAAGAAAAAAAGACAUGCAUAAAACCAAGAUUGUUUUUUUCCUUUUAAUUCUUUCGGGUUCGAUGAUUGAUUCAGUUCCCCAAACAAAUCAACUAUUCGAUUUACCCAAUUUUUUACGCUUUCAUUUUGGUAAAGCACACGCUAAUUGCAGACCUGGUUGGGCGUAUUUGUAUAUAUGUAAACUGAAAUGUAGAAUUGAACAAAUGGAAUGUGUAUCAUACAUAAAUGAGAAUUUUAAUAUAAAAUGUUAUGGCUGCAUUAAUCGACAUGAAAUGUAUUAACCUACGGAUUUCAUUAAUUGUAAUGGGAUAAAAAUAUUGUUUUCUAUAAAUAAAAAAAAUGUUUUAAAUAAACCUAAAUAUGUACCUACUUAUCUAUAUUAAGGUCUUAAUAAUAAUUGGUAGUAUUAUUUAAUAUAAUUUAACUAUGUUCAUGAUAAUAAUUGUAUAAUACCAUAAUAAUAUAAUAACAUCCAUAAUAUUAUAAUAUGUAACAAAAUUCACCUGUUAGAUUUAAAAUACAGUAACAUUAUUUUAAUAAUAUUAAGUUAUUUGUGAAUAAAAUAUAAUAUUAUUAUAUUAAAUAAAUGUAAUUCAAUGAUA
rnacentral:lncRNA from 1 species